UACGGGGGGUGCGAGCGUUGUCCGGAAUCACUGGGCGUAAAGGGCGCGUAGGCGGCGCGGGAAGUCAUCGGUGAAAGCUCAGGGCUCAACUCUGAGUCGGCCGGUGAUACUCUCGUGCUUGAGCACUGUAGAGGCAGGUGGAAUUCCGGGUGUAGCGGUGGAAUGCGUAGAGAUCCGGAAGAACACCGGUGGCGAAGGCGGCCUGCUGGGCAGUAGCUGACGCUGAUGCGCGACAGCGUGGGGAGCAAACAGG
rnacentral:rRNA from 1 species